ACAUUCGUGGAGACAGAGGAGUCUUGGACCAUGUGCGCAACUGGAGCGUAGGAGUGUGCACUCGUCUUCUCGGAAAGGAAGGGCUGGAAAUAACCCUGACAGUGUUAGGCUUGGUGGCGAUCAGGGACAGAUGACUCUUACCGGUAGCCGUUUGCCCAAAUGCUUCUGCCCUUUGGAAGAGUCUUUGUGGCAGUGUGAGUUGUCUCCAGUAAGGGACCCUGGAGGGAGUGGCUCAUCCUAGCUAUAAAGAGUGUGUUAUUUUUAUCUUUUUUUUUUAAAGAAUCACUUUUUCUAAGUAUGUCGGAGUGAUUGAGCAGAGAGAAAAAUGAAUACCCUAAGCGAACUAGAAAUCUGGAAAGAACCGAAAUAGAGGCAGUGUCUCAUGACACUUUACUUGAGGACUCACCUGAUGAACUGCUGAUCAACUCUAUAGAUUCCUUCACCUAACCAGAACUGACUUCAUCAGAGAGUUAUGAUGGUUAACUCUAUCAGUCUUCUACCUGAAUGCCCCAAGAUAUUGAUGAAGUCAACAAAAACAUUGAGCCUCAGAACACAAGAAAUCUUGGACAAACUGGGAGACAGCUUGUCAGUAUCUAAGGUCUCUGUCUUGUCCUGGAGAUGUCCCCCAUCUCCUCAUCCCCAUCAGCUGAGGAUUUCCAUUUGUUUACAUGGCCCUCCAGGAUCUCUCCUGCACUUCCCCAGACUUGAUCCUGAAGCCUCCAUUUCCCUCCCUAUAGGGAAUGCAUCUGGAAAAGAGACUACCAGCAGAAGAGCAUAAAGGGGCGUGGAAGCCUAAACUGAACGAAGACCAAAGUGUGGACACUUUGCCCCUUCUUAGAAUUUGAAACAAUCACCCAUGGAAGGAGUUACAGAGACAAAGUUUGGAGCUGAGACAAAAGGAUGGACCAUCUAGAGACUGCCAUAUCCAGGGAUCCAUCCCAUAAUUAGCCUCCAAACGCUGACACCAUUGCAUACACUAGCAAGAUUUUGCUGAAAGGACCCAGAUGUAGCUCUCUCUUGUGAGAUUAUGCCGGGGCCUAGCAAAGACAGAAGUGGAUGCUAACAGUCAACUAUUGGAUGGAUCACAGGACCCCCAAGGGAGGAGCUAGAGAAAGUAUCCAAGGAGCUAAAGGGACCUGCAACCCUAUAGGCGGAACAACAUUAUGAACUAACCAGUACCCCGGAGCUCGUGUCUCCAGCUGCAUAUGUUUCAAAAGAUGGCCUAGUCGGCCAUCACUGGAAAGAGAGGCCCAUUGGACAGGCAAACUUUAUAUGCCCCAGUACAGGGGAACACCAGGGCCAAAAAAUGGGAAUGUGUGGGUAGGGGAGUGGGGGGUGGUGAGGGUGUGGGGGACUUUUGGGACAGCAUUGGAAAUGUAAUUGAGGAAAAUAUGUAAUAAAAAAAUAGAAAAAAAUAAAAAAUAAAAUUUGAAAUGUA
rnacentral:lncRNA from 1 species